GGGCUUUUGGCACAGUUGGUAGCGCGCAUGCUUCGCAUGGUGAUUGCAUGAGGUCGUGGGUUCGACUCCCACAGAGUCCA